CUGUAGUCCAGGUUGGAGUGCAGUGGCGUGAUCUCAGCUCACUGGAACCUCCGCCUCCUCAAUUCUCCUGCCUCAGCCUCCCGAGUAGCUGGGAUUACAGGCGUCCACCACCACAUCAAGCUAAUUUUUGUAUUUUUAGUAGAGACGGAAUUUCACCAUGUUGGCCAGACUGGUCUCGAGCUCCUGACCUCAAGUGAUGUACCCUCCUUGGCCUCCCAAAGUGCUGGGAUUACAGGCAUGAGCCACCGUGCUGGCCAGAACUUUGCUUUAAUUGUUAUUUAAAACUAGCAAACAUUGCUUUUUCUUCCAAUAACAUUUCCUUCUUUCUUUACUCUGAAACCCUGUGAUUCAGGUUUAGCCAGUUAGACAACCCCAUUCCUUUGGCCAAAAGUGAUUAGUUCAGGAAUGGGAAACCAUCCAAGUUGGACCAAUUAGAGUAAAUCCUGUGGCUUCUGUAAAAACAACUGAGAAAAUCUACUCUUGUUUUCCUGCUCAACUUGAGUUUGGAGAGAUGAAGACCUGGGUUCCUAGCAAGUCAUACUGCCACCUCAUGGAGCCUGAAAACAAAAUCAAAGUGAAAGAAAGUACAGCUGAGAGCUGGAGAAAUGCCAGGUUCUGUUGAGAUCACUUGAUGCCUUGAAUCUACCUGUGUAUCCCUUAUCCUGGAAGGUAGUCAAUACAUUCUGUUUUGCUGAAGACAACUAAAGCUGUGUUUGUAAUCAUGUACAACUGACAAAUUCCAGAAUAUACAUUAAGCAUAAAUGUGACGUCCAAGAUAUAUCCAUCUAGGCCUACUUUAUAAAGAAUAUUUUAAAAUUUAGGAAUGAUAUUAAAUUUUAUCAAAUGUUUCUUUUGGCUUCUUUAGAGAUUACUGUUUAUUUUUAUUUUCCCCCAUUAAUAUAAAAGUUGUGCUAUAGACUUCCCAAUAUUUUGUUCUUGAAGUUUUGUUCACUGCUGUUUCCCUAGUAUUAUACAUAUAUAGUAGCAUAUAUAGUAGGCCCUCAAUAAAAUAUUCAGUGAAUGAAUUAACUGCUGUA
rnacentral:lncRNA from 1 species